CAAACCCAGUAAAAACAUCAUGAAUAAUGAUACAGUGUUCUAAUGAAUCCUGUAUCAACAGCACACAAAAAGGCUCACCCUUGAAAGCUGAAGAGUCUGUGAAUUUCUUUUGCCUGUAAUAGAAUCUAUCUCAGAGACAAUUCUACCAUUAGAACAACCCCUUCUCCUUUGAAAUCUUGAAAAAGGAUUUUUCUCAUCUUUUUUUUUUUUUUAAGCUUCUCUUGGGGUAAAUUGUGAAGCUGGUCAUAUAAGACUGAAAAACCUUGUAUGAUCAGUCAGAAAAAAAAAAAAUAUCACUAUGUCCACUCUGUGACAGAUUUUGGAAUGGUGACUCACGUUCCCUGCUGCUUCUUCCCACCCACUCCUUUCACCUCUUUGCCCUAGAGAUGACUACAUGCAAUUACCACCAAGAAGUUAAAGCAGCCUACUGUGGAUGGCUGAGGGUAGUAACUAUUUCAUCUGGCAGAAAAUAGUUCAUUGGGUGUUAUGGCACCAAUCAAAGCAGUUGUCUCUUGACUCUGCUGACAGUAUUUCAUAGUGCUCUAAGUGGGGAAAUGAGAGAAAGAAACCAACUUGAGGAACAGAAUAAUAAGACUAAAGAUCAGGGAAUAUAGAUAACAUACAAAGUAAAAUAAAUUAACAACUCUGGCAAGAAAGAGCACAUCUUGUGUUCUAUGAAAAAGAAACUGACUUUUUCUUUAAAGUAUCAAAUUUUUAGUAAUGGGCACAGGAAGUUUCUUUUAACCAAAUCAAGGUCGAGAAGGGGCUUACUGAUAAUGAGGUGGCCCUCAGACUGCCUCGUUUCUGAGCAACUGUUCUAUUUUCUUAAGUCUGCACCUGUUCUGUGGUGGUUACUCAAGACUUCCACAUCAUUUAUCCAAGAAAUACUUUUUGUCUUGUAUCAAGAUGAUGGAGUUGUGAAUGAAGUCUAUUACAUCUUUUGUGCUGUGUAUUUUAUUCUGCAUUAAUAUGAAAAGCUUUGGAAUAGUCUUUCAAGCAUUUAAUGACCAAAAAAAAUAGUCUACAUGCAAUGCAAAUUACUUAUCAGCUAAUCAGAUCAUUUAAUGAAAGACUUCUAAGAAUUCUUUUAGGGAUUUUUGACAUUUACUGUCAUACUUAAUACCUUAUCAAGGACUUUUUUCCAAGUCAUCUAAUGAGGGUAUAUUGUUAAAUAUAUUAGACUCCAAGUUUUUAAUCUUAAAAAUGCCUGAAAUAAAUGUUUUAUUUUGUAACUAGGCAAGGUUUCUGCCAUUUCUUCAAUACUUUAAGUCAAAGCUGGAUUAGUUUUCUCAUAUAAUAUUUCGCUAAGAGGGGGGAGGAUAAACUACUGUGUUUUAAAAUUGUAUCCCAUUUCAGUUUCUGGAUUUUCCCCACUGUUCUGCCAUGGCUGAAGCACUUGAGUAUCAGCAGAGGCUGUGAUGGCCCACAGUAACCCUCACCAGGCUUUCUGUCCUCCCAGCAGCAGUGCAGGCAGCACUGCGAUCUUUAAGAAGCUCCGCAACACCUCCCCAAAAAACAGUUUUGAGAGAAGGUGUAUUUAACAUCAAGCCUUUCUUCAAGGCAAGUGAUAACCCCCUGCACAAAAGCUUAAAAAAGAUAUGUUAAAGGGUUACCACUGUUUUCCAUGACCAUGACUGAUUGGCAACCUUGACGAGUUUUAGAAAACACAUCUAUGAGGAACAAUUGAAGCAACUGAGGAUGGUAAAUCCAAAGCAAAGACCAGUGAGGGAAGUGACCAUAUUCUGGCUAUGGUGCCUGUACAGGGGAAGUGAAUAAACCUUUCGUCCCAUUUCCUAAAUACUUUCUAAUUGUGACUGUGUGCAAGAAAGUGGUGGAAACUGCAACUUCAGAAGGCUGAAAACCCAUUUCUAACAGUCAUGAAGCAAGAAUAAAUGUACUAACCAUGGAAGGAAACUUACCUGCUCCCAUUUCAUUUCCAACCCUUGGAAUAAUAUCAUCAUCUUGACAGUCUGAUCUCCAUUAUUUGGUUUUACAACCUUGAAUUUGCUACCUCCAGAGCAGAAGCUUCUCAGGUGGGAGCCCCUGGAAGCUGUGUUGUAUUACUGAGCCCCUUAUCCUGUGAGCCCAACAUUCACUACAACAGAGGAGGCCCUGCAAGGCCUCAUGUUCCCUAGCACCAGUCUGGUGACAAAUCAGGCUGUAGCACUCAAGUGUGCUGGCCCACGUUGCCUUAGGUGCUCCAUUUUUGCUCACUGGACCUCCUUUCACUGAAGGAGUUUACAGAAUUCAGCCGUCAGCCUUGAGAAGUGCUGAAGCAGAAAGCAACUGUUUCUUUGCUGCAACAUUAAUCACAUAUGUUCACUGAUAGUUUUUGGUGCAAGUAAACAGAGAUAGCCACCUGGUGGAGCUGACUGAGGAAGUUUGAUACAUUUAUUUGUAUAAAUAUAAAAGCAUACAUCCAUAAAAUAACUUGAUAGAUAAAAAUAGCAACUAAAAGAUUUCAUGACAAACCAAAUGAGAUGUUUGAUAUACCUUGAAGUUGCUCUUUUUCCCUUACUUGCAGAGU